AGUCGAGCGGACUGAAAGGAGAGCUCGCUCUCCUUUCAGUCAGCGGCGGACGGGUGAGUAACACGUGGGUAACCUGCCUGUAAGACCGGGAUAACUCGCGGAAACGCGAGCUAAUACCGGAUAGGUCCCGUGGCCGCAUGGCGACGGGAGGAAAGAUGGCGCGAGCUAUCGCUUACAGAUGGGCCCGCGGCGCAUUAGCUAGUUGGUGGGGUAACGGCCCACCAAGGCGACGAUGCGUAGCCGACCUGAGAGGGUGAUCGGCCACAUUGGGACUGAGACACGGCCCAAACUCCUACGGGAGGCAGCAGUAGGGAAUCUUCCGCAAUGGGCGAAAGCCUGACGGAGCAACGCCGCGUGAGCGAAGAAGGCCUUCGGGUCGUAAAGCUCUGUUGUCAGGGAAGAACAAGUACCGGAGUAACUGCCGGUACCUUGACGGUACCUGACCAGAAAGCCCCGGCUAACUACGUGCCAGCAGCCGCGGUAAUACGUAGGGGGCGAGCGUUGUCCGGAAUCAUUGGGCGUAAAGCGCGCGCAGGCGGUCCCUUAAGUCUGAUGUGAAAUCUUGCGGCUCAACCGCAAGGGGUCAUUGGAAACUGGGGGACUUGAGUGCAGGAGAGGGAAGCGGAAUUCCAUGUGUAGCGGUGAAAUGCGU
rnacentral:rRNA from 1 species